GAACACAACAAUACCCUAGGCAUUUUGGGAAAAGUGUCACUAGGCAACCGCGUCGGCGUCUGCUUUUAACCUGUGGGAGAACCCGGCGAGCUAAGCCAAACGGAGGGCGGGAGAGAGGAAGCGGCAGCUGGCGCCUCUCGGCAACUCUAACCCUCUGAUAGAGAUCGCCAAGGUUCCCAUAGAAGAAAUGGUUUCCAGAAUGCAGAAGUGGUCCAUGAUGCCAGAUGUUGCAGAAAGAGCAAAUAAGGGAGAACAUCCCAGGGCAGAAAGGAAAGCCUAAAGCUACAGCCUGUUCCUCUAGUUCUUAGAACAGCUGGUUACUGAGCUCUCAGGCCAGACACUGGAUCCCGGAGAGCUUGUCCACUGCAACAGUGCAACACGCUAAGGGCUGUGUGGCGGCACAGGGGCUCUGAGCUCCUGACCUGAGUCAUGGGGACCUGAAGGCUGACACCCAGCCCUAUACCUACAAGCUGGGUGAGACCCCUGGCAGUUGCCUACACCCCUGCUGAGACCCAGUACCUCCCUGUAAAAUGGGGGAAAUAAUGCCUGCCUCACAGGGUUUCGAUGAAGGGAAACAUUUGGAAACCCCUUGGAGGAGAUCUGCCACAUGGCCUCCAGUGAACUGUAGACUCCUGCAUAGCCUUCCAAAGUUCUUCAUUUGGUGAAUAUUAUGAGAAAUGACACGUAUGACUUUCUCCCAAAUACGUGGCUUAAACCCAAAGUACAGUGAAAUCAGAACUGACCACACAGAGUAAUUGGGGCAAGGGAGUUAUUUGUGACACAAAGCCCUCAUCACUUUAUAAAAGUACUUGCUACUGAUUACAUUGAAAACCAGUCUUCCUGAGUAAAACAUGUUUUUUGUUUUGUAUCGUUUUUGUUUUUGUUUUUUUGAGACAGAGUCUCACUCUUUGACCCAGGCUGGAGUGCAGUGGUGCGAACUUGGCUCUCCGCAACCUCUGCCUUCUGGGUUCAAGCGAUUCUCUUGCCUCAGCCUCCUGAGUAGCUGGGAUUACAGGUGCCCGUCACCACGCCAGGCUAAUUUUUUUGUAUUUUUAGUAGAGGCGAGGUUUUGCCAUGUUGGCCAGGUUGAUCUUGAACUCCUGACCUCAGAUGAUCCACAUGCCUGGGCCUCCCAAAGUGCUGGGGUUAGAGGCAUUAAGGGAGGAGACCACCCCUCAUAUUGUCUUAUGCCCAAUUUCUGCCUCCAAAGAAAGAAAAAGUAAAAACUGAAAGGCAGAAAUGAAAUCCACAAGCAGACAGCCCGGUGCCACACCCUGGGCAGAUCGACCCCUGACCUAAUCGGUUAUGUUAUCGAUUACAGACAUUGGAUAGAAAAGCACUGUGAAAAUCCCUAUCCUGUUUUGUUCAGAUCGAAUUACCGGUGCAUGCAGCCCCCAGACACGUACCCUCUGCUUGCUCAAUCGAUCACGACCCUCUCACACGCACCCCCUUAGAGUUGUGAGCCCUUAAAAGGGACAGGAAUUGCUCACUCGGGGAGCUUGGCUCUUGAGACAGGAGUCUUGCCAAUGCCCCCAGCCGAAUAAACCCCUUCCUUCUUUAACUCGGAGUCUGAGGAGUUUUGUCUGCAGCUCAUCCUGCUACAUUUCUUGGUUCCCUGACCAGGAAGCGAGGUGACUGGCACAUGGUCGAGGCAGCUGCUUAGGCAGCUUAAGCAUGCCCUGUGAAACAUCCCUGUGGGGGACUCCGACCAGCCCAGGCAACGCGGAUCCUGAGAACGCUCCCGGGUAGGCAUCUGCCCCUGUGGGAUGCCUCACCAGAGCAGUGUGUGGCAGGCCCCCGUGGAGGACCAACACAGUGGCUGAACACCGGGAAGGAACAGGAUCUUGGAGUCUGGACAUCUAAAACUUGGAUCACAGGGCCCUGGACAACGUCAGUGAACAUUAUCCUGGGGUAACCCAGUCUCCUAGGUCUGGUAACAACAACAAGGGAAACAAUCCAAAGGAUUACCUUGAACUCUGGCCAGCACCGUGGGAGACUUGGACCUAGUGAAGGCCGGUGACCCGGAAGGGCCCCUUAACUCUGGCCAGCACCGUGGGAGACUUGGACCUAGUGAAGGCCGGUGACCCGGAAGGGCCCCUUAAGCUCAGUAAUGGGCCUCCACUUGCUGGGAGGAAACUACAAACUUGAUAUUCGUCAAAAGCUGAUUGAACACCUCCUCUGCACCAGACAUUGAACUAUAAAGUCAAUACAAUGAGGGUCAAGAAGCUUAUGACUUGAUGGUAAACAGAGAUGUAAACUGACUAUUACCAGUCUGGUUGCUAAGGGAUACAAUUGAUAUAUGCCCAGAUGUUAUGGAACCCAGGGAAGACCAUUGUACUGGGAGAGGAAGAGCAACUGGUCCUUCAGAGAAGGCUUACUGGAGGAAUGGGACUGGAACUGAGGUCUGAAGGAUGUGUAGAAAGUGAGAAGAAGAAAUUGGGAUUUUGGAUAUGGAAUGCUUUCAGUUUCAAAUGACAGAAACCUUACUCAGGCCAGAGGAAGCAAACCAGGGAACUGUAUAACUGGGACGACUGGGUGAAGCUGGCCUCAGACACACAAGCAUUCAGGUUUGCGGCUCUCCUCAGACUUACCUCUGCUGCUUCUUCCUCUGUGUUGGACUCAUUCUCUCCUAAUCAGGUUAGCUUCCUCCAGGUUUCAGGGGCAGGAGGGCCCUGGCCACAGGCAGUUCCAGGCUUAUAUUAACCGAGUUUUUUGGCUCCAGAAAAAAGAGAGAACUUUCCCAGCACCCAUAUGUAAAAUCCCACGGAAGGGCUCUGAUUGGCCCAGCUUGGGUCAUGUGCCAAUCCCAGGUCAAUCACUGUGGCUGGGGGAUGGGUACUGUGACUGAACGGGCCUGGAUCUGCUACCCAGCACUGGGAAUAGGGGACAGGAUACUGUGGUUGGCAGUUCCAUUAGGACCACAUGGAAUGAGGGGGGAUGCUGAGAACACUAAAGCAACAGAUGUUCAUAACAGAGAGCUUUCUAGACAGAGAGAAUCACACAUGCAAAACCAUUCAACAGCCAGGGAACGUGGCUGAGAAUUACUAGUAGUUUUGUGUUGCUGGAACUAAGGAUGAACUUGGGUGAGUGACAAGAAAUAAACCUAGAGAAGAAUGAAUGUGGAGGGCCAUACAUGCUAAACAAUAGAGUGUGAAUGUUAUCCUGAAAGCUAUAGAGAAUCUUUCAAAAAUGUUAUAUCAGAUAUUUGUAUGAUCAGGUUAUAUUAUUUGUGGAAAAAUCCUUUUGCCCAUAGAUCUAUUCUCUUGCUUUCUUCCUUCAGUUAAUGGUAUCCUCCAUCCCUGCAACGUCAUGAACUAGAAACUGGGGGAAUCUUGGGGCAAUUUCCCUCUGCCAAGUCCUUUUUGGGGCCCCUCUCAAGGAGCCAUUCCUUUCUAUUCUGUGACGCUGCCUGUGUCUGUUCAGGCCUCUGCCUGUUCUUGCCAGGACUACUAUGGUGGGCCCCCCUAACUUGUACCAAGGCAUCUGCUCUUUCAGGGAAUUUCCUGUUCCCCAACCUAGCCUGGGGCAGACUGGUUCUCUCUGCUUUGGUAGCUAAUACGGUUGGAUGUUUGUCCCUUCCAAAUCUCAUGUUGAAAUGUAAUCUCCAGUGUUGGAGGUGGGGUCUGGUGGGAGGUGUUAGGGUCAUGGGGGUGGAUCCCUCAUGAAUGUCUUAGUGCCCACCUCGCAGUAAUGAGUCUCAUUCUAUUAGUUCACAAGAGAGCUGGUUGUUUAAAGAGACUGGCACCUUCUCCCUUCUCUCUCUUGCCCUCUGUCACCAUGCGAUGUGCCUGCUCCCGCUUCGCCUUCUGCCAUGAUUGUAGGCUCCCUGAGUCCUCACCAGAAGUAGAUGCUGGCGCCACACUUCCUGUACAGCCUUCAGAACCAUGAGCCAAAAUAAACUCUUUUCUUUAUAAAUUACCCAGUCUCAGGUAUUUCUUUUUAGCAAUGCAAACAGACUAACACAGUAGUCCAUAUCCCUCUCCUAGCAGUUAUCACCCUGCCUCAUAACCAUUUACCGUCUGGCUCUGCACCGUGUGCUGUGUGUGCAUAUGCUCUAAGGAUGCUCUGUUUU
rnacentral:lncRNA from 10 species